rnacentral:rRNA from 1 species
UACGUAGGUGGCGAGCGUUGUCCGGAUUUACUGGGCGUAAAGGGAGCGUAGGCGGGCUUUUAAGUGAGAUGUGAAAUACUCGGGCUCAACUUGAGUGCUGCAUUUCAAACUGGAAGUCUAGAGUGGAGGAGAGGAGAAUGGAAUUCCUAGUGUAGCGGUGAAAUGCGUAGAGAUUAGGAAGAACACCAGUGGCGAAGGCGAUUCUCUGGACUGUAACUGACGCUGAGGCUCGAAAGCGUGGGGAGCAAACAGG